rnacentral:tRNA from 1 species
GGGCCGUUAACUCAGGUGGCAGAGUAUCUGCCUUUUAAGCAGAGAGUCGCUGGUUCGAAUCCAGCACGGCCCA